AGUGAACGCUGGCGGUAGGCCUAACACAUGCAAGUCGAACGGCAGCACAGUAAGAGCUUGCUCUUACGGGUGGCGAGUGGCGGACGGGUGAGGAAUACAUCGGAAUCUACUUUUUCGUGGGGGAUAACGUAGGGAAACUUACGCUAAUACCGCAUACGACCUACGGGUGAAAGCAGGGGAUCUUCGGACCUUGCGCGAUUGAAUGAGCCGAUGUCGGAUUAGCUAGUUGGCGGGGUAAAGGCCCACCAAGGCGACGAUCCGUAGCUGGUCUGAGUGGAGGAUAGGCGACACGGGAACUGAGACACGGUCCAGACUCCUGCGGUAGGCAGCAGUGGGGAAUAUUGGACAAUGGGCGCAAGCCUGAUCCAGCCAUACCGCGUGGGUGAAGAAGGCCUUCGGGUUGUAAAGCCCUUUUGUUGGGAAAGAAAAGCAGCAGGUUAAUACCCCGCUGUUCUGACGGUACCCAAAGAAUAAGCACCGGCUAACUUCGUG
rnacentral:rRNA from 1 species